rnacentral:rRNA from 1 species
CCUACGGGAGGCAGCAGUGGGGAAUAUUGGACAAUGGGCGCAAGCCUGAUCCAGCCAUACCGCGUGGGUGAAGAAGGCCUUCGGGUUGUAAAGCCCUUUUGUUGGGAAAGAAAAGCAGUCGAUUAAUACUCGGUUGUUCUGACGGUACCCAAAGAAUAAGCACCGGCUAACUUCGUGCCAGCAGCCGCGGUAAUACGAAGGGUGCAAGCGUUACUCGGAAUUACUGGGCGUAAAGCGUGCGUAGGUGGUUGUUUAAGUCUGUUGUGAAAGCCCUGGGCUCAACCUGGGAAUUGCAGUGGAUACUGGGCGACUAGAGUGUGGUAGAGGGUAGUGGAAUUCCCGGUGUAGCAGUGAAAUGCGUAGAGAUCGGGAGGAACAUCCAUGGCGAAGGCAGCUACCUGGACCAACACUGACACUGAGGCACGAAAGCGUGGGGAGCAAACAGGAUUAGAUACCCUGGUAGUCCACGCCCUAAACGAUGCGAACUGGAUGUUGGGUGCAAUUUGGCACGCAGUAUCGAAGCUAACGCGUUAAGUUCGCCGCCGUGGGGAGUACGGUCGCAAGACUUGAAACUCAAAGGAAUUAGACGG